rnacentral:rRNA from 1 species
UAAGGAAUAUUGGUCAAUGGACGCAAGUCUGAACCAGCCAUGCCGCGUGGAGGAUUAAGGCCCUCUGGGUUGUAAACUCCUUUUAUCUGGGAAGAAAUGUACUUUUUCUUGAGUACUUGACGGUACCAGAGGAAUAAGCACCGGCUAACUCCGUGCCAGCAGCCGCGGUAAUACGGAGGGUGCAAGCGUUAUCCGGAUUCACUGGGUUUAAAGGGUGCGUAGGUGGGCAGGUAAGUCAGUGGUGAAAUCUCCGGGCUUAACCCGGAAACUGCCGUUGAUACUAUUUGUCUUGAAUAUUGUGGAGGUAAGCGGAAUAUGUCAUGUAGCGGUGAAAUGCUUAGAUAUGACAUAGAACACCAAUUGUGAAGGCAGCUUACUACACAAUCAUUGACGCUGAGGCACGAGAGCGUGGGGAUCAAACA